UACGAAGGGGGCUAGCGUUGCUCGGAAUCACUGGGCGUAAAGGGUGCGUAGGCGGGUCUUUAAGUCAGGGGUGAAAUCCCGGGGCUCAACCUCGGAACUGCCUUUGAUACAGCACGUCUCGAGUCCGGAAGAGGUGGGUGGAAUUCCUAGUGUAGAGGUGAAAUUCGUAGAUAUUAGGAAGAACACCGGUGGCGAAGGCGGCCCACUGGUCCGGUACUGACGCUGAGGUGCGAAAGCGUGGGGAGCAAACAGG
rnacentral:rRNA from 1 species